UGCUUCCACAUGUAAUGUAGCAUGAUCAGACAUAAACCUUGAUCAAAACUUUGAUCAUGAUCAAACGUGAUCAAACCUUAUGGAAUAAAUUGUUGACCCAUGAAGAGGUAAUGACUGUCAAGUGCAUAUUUUCCGGGAUUUGUGAUAUCACAAAGAUCGACGAAUGGGACGAGACCUGGUUGAGCUGCAAUAGAGAAGGCAACGAGUGUAAUCACUUUUCAAAAACUACAACGAACAGCUCGACAUUUCCUGACCAGGCGCCGAGUGCUGUCAAACACAACACACAUUGGCCCAGCUAACCAGUCACAACACAGACUGGCACAGGUAACCAUUCACAGCGCAUUUCUUAUGAAAGCGGGCCUUCAUUUAAUGCAGGAACUAUUCCAGCCAUUCACGCCAGACUGGGGAGAGAGGUGUUGUAAUAAUGUAAAAUACAUGAAAAAUAUAUGUUUUUCGCACAACCUAGUAUGAGAGCCUGUUGUAAUCAAGACCUUGUAAAAGAGCAUAAUAGGACCCCUUUUAAGAAGAGAAUAUUGGAAGCAUCUCUUUCAAUAGCUUAGUCAAUGGAGGGUCUAACUUACAUGGUGUUGAUUUUAAUGAUCUAACAAAUUUAGACAGUUCUUCCCCUUCUAUAACAAAUAAUGAAUGGAAUGAGCGGCAACCUCCCACUCUCUCUCGUGAAGCCAACAAGGAAGUGACUAGAACUGUAAUUCAUCGACUGGCCGCUUGAGGCUGGCUGCAAAAGGGAGUCAAUCCCAUAGACUCCCCAACAUGUUUACAGCCUGGUUCAAAAAUGAUUUUGGUCUAAAUAGCUAAUUUUGCCCUUCAUGACAACUGUGAGGGGGUGAAUUUUUUUUUAUAACUCAUCUGUUUAAAUUAUAUUAAGCCUUAAAGUUCUGCAUAAUUAAGGGCGUGGCCACGUGAGUGACAGGUGGAUUGCCGCUGCUGACAAUGCCAUCGCCCUAGGUGGGCGUGGCUUCAGCAACCAGCUCCCGCCUUUUUGCUCAUUUUCGAUUAUUUGGGAGAGUUGCGCGUGGCACGCUGCCAAGAUGGCGACGGCCCACUCUGCACACUUUGAGCUUCAAAACUGCUCUUCAGGAGUCUAUGGGUGACGUCACGGACACUACGUCCAUAUUUUUAUACAGUCUAUGGAAUGGAAUUGUUUCUCAUGGAGUCUAUAGUGCAUUAUCUGAUGCAAAACUGUAGCAAAUGGUUGCAUGGUUAUAUUUUUCUCUCUGAUAGUAUCAAUCUUGCAAGUAUAGAAGUUCAUAAAAUCAAUGCUGCUGUGCUGUUGUGAAAUAUCUAAACUUGAAGUUCUAUUUCUCAUUAAUUUAGCUACUGUAUCAAAUAAGUAACUAGGGUUGUGUUUGUUUUCUUCUUAACUCUUUCCCCGCCUGCAUUUUUGAAAAAAAGUUGCCAACCACCAGCAGCAAUUUUUAUGAUUUUCAAAAUUUGAUGGCCUACAGUAUGUUUUGCUGCAUGAAUAUUUGAAUAUGCAAUACAUCAAAAUAAAGAUUAAAGCCUCUACUUUAAAAAAAAAACA
ensembl:lncRNA